rnacentral:rRNA from 1 species
AACGAACGCUGGCGGCAUGCCUAACACAUGCAAGUCGAACGAGACCUUCGGGUCUAGUGGCGCACGGGUGCGUAACGCGUGGGAAUCUGCCCUUGGGUUCGGAAUAACAGUUAGAAAUGACUGCUAAUACCGGAUAAUGUCUUCGGACCAAAGAUUUAUCGCCCAGGGAUGAGCCCGCGUAGGAUUAGCUAGUUGGUGAGGUAAAGGCUCACCAAGGCGACGAUCCUUAGCUGGUCUGAGAGGAUGAUCAGCCACACUGGGACUGAGACACGGCCCAGACUCCUACGGGAGGCAGCAGUGGGGAAUAUUGGACAAUGGGCGAAAGCCUGAUCCAGCAAUGCCGCGUGAGUGAUGAAGGCUAGGGUUGUAAAGACUCUUUACCCGGGUAUGAUAAUGACAGUACC